rnacentral:rRNA from 1 species
UACGUAGGUCCCGAGCGUUGUCCGGAUUUAUUGGGCGUAAAGCGAGCGCAGGUGGUUUAUUAAGUCUGGUGUAAAAGGCAGUGGCUCAACCAUUGUAUGCAUUGGAAACUGGUAGACUUGAGUGCAGGAGAGGAGAGUGGAAUUCCAUGUGUAGCGGUGAAAUGCGUAGAUAUAUGGAGGAACACCGGUGGCGAAGGCGAUUCUCUGGACUGUGACUGACGCUGAGGCUCGAAAGCGUGGGGAGCAAACAGG